GAGCCCUUUGUAAACAUAGAGACCCCCUCCCCCCGAUCGGUCUUCAUCUCCAAAAGAAGACAAGCUUCUUUCCAUGGCAAAAAUGAGAGAACCUCACCCCUAAGCAACAACCGUUACACACAAGACCCCUCCCCCCCUCUUUGAAUUCCAUCUUCUUCGUCAUCCCCAAGCAACAACCCUAUUUCCCUCUUCUUUAACAUCAACAACCUAGACACCCAACCGUUAAAACUCACCAGAAACCAACCCCACCAGCUAGAACAGAAGCGUCAAAAAGACCAACCAACGACCCCUGCUUCUGAACAACCCAAAACGAGUCAAAAUUUUAGUUUUGCCUCUUGAUUAUGGUCUCAAAGAUGGAGUUUGUCCGGAGCUGAUUUAAUUCACCGUCUGAGGUCCGAGUUCGUCGUUCCGGUUGGAGUACAUCUCGUCUUGAUGUUUUGGAUUGGCUUGCUGCUGGAUUUUGCAUAUCUAGAUUCGUUUAUACCUUCUCUAAUCAUUUCAAACAUCAAUUGAAAGCUCAUUUUCAGUAGCUGAAUCACAUUCUCAGGUCCUACUGUUGAGCUCAUACCACGUGAGAGUGCUGAAAGUUUUUUUAAUUGAUUGUGAAAAAGGAUUUUUCAUUCAAAGAGAGGUAGUUCAUUCACAUUUGAGAGGAAGUGAUAAUUCAAGUUCAAAUUUUUUGUUCGGUUUAGCUGAGUUGGUGAUAAAAGCUGUUGGCUUUCAAGUGAACAUGUUAGUCUUGUUACUAUGCUGAUUAAGGAUCACAUUUGGAUGGCUUCUUAUUCUCUGUUAAAACAUGCCAAUAGUUUAGUUGAA